AGAGUUUGAUCAGUGGCUCAGAGUGAACGCUGGCGGCAGGCCUAAUACAUGCAAGUCGAACGGCAGCACAGCAGAGCUUGCUCUGUGGGUGGCGAGUGGCGGACGGUGAGGAAUACGUGGGAAUCUGCCUAGUCGUGGGGAUAACGUAGGGAAACUUACGCUAAUACCGCAUGCGCCCUUCGGGGGAAAGCCGGGGACCUUCGGGCCUGGCGCGAUUGGAUGAGCCCACGUCGGAUUAGCUAGUUGGCGGGUAAAGGCCCACCAAGGCGACGAUCCGUAGCUGGUCUGAGAGGAUGAUCAGCCACACUGGAACUGAGACACGGUCCAGACUCCUACGGGAGGCAGCAGUAGGGAAUAUUGGACAAUGGGCGCAAGCCUGAUCCAGCCAUGCCGCGUGAGUGAAGAAGGCCCUCGGGUUGUAAAGCUCUUUUGUCCGGAAAGAAAAGCGCCGGGUUAAUACCCUGGUGUCCUGACGGUACCGGAAGAAUAAGCACCGGCUAACUUCGUG
rnacentral:rRNA from 1 species